AUGAGUCAUUUCUCUGCACACAGCAAGGCCCACAUACCAAAAACCAAAACACACUUUGCAAAGUGCGGGUACCCCAAAAUGACCCGAAAUGAUGCCAGGGCACCGCGGGCUCACUUGGGAUGGGGUGCCCAGUGUGCGGGCCCUGAAAGGAGGGCAGAAAAGCGGCGCUGCAGGCAGGAUGCAGCCUUGAAACGGGGCACACAGGAGCCAGAAGCACGGGGAAGCAUCCACCCAAAGUUGUGUCUGCAGAGCGGUGCUUGGAGGAGCCUCUUGCUCAGCAUCAGUGCCGUGACAGCUCUCCCAGCUCACCGCCCGCUGCCAGCCACGCUCUCCUAUUGUUCCGAGCAGCUGCGGGCGGCAUCAACAACACCGGGAGAGGCAGGAAUUAGCUGGGGACACCCACUAAUUGCCCCCCCCAGCUACCUGCACCCCCAGGAGGGGUGGAUGCCAGCCGGGGACAGGCGCUGCCCGCCUUCCUCCACCCCAACACCCGCAGCCUCCCCCUCGCCCACCCGCCGGCCGAGGGCGGUGCUUGCGGCUCGGGGCGGUCCCGGCGUGGCCCCGCCGCCGUUCCCCGGUGCCCUGGAGCCUCUCCUGUCCCUGUCGCUGUCCCUGUCCCCAUCGCCGUCCCCAUCCUCGUCCCUGUCGCCGUCUCCCCGGGCCUGUCAGGGGCCGCCAUGGGGACCAACGCGCCGCCGCGCAGGGAGCCGCCCCCCCGCGGCCCCCACGGGGACUCGGCGCAGCCGGUGGACGUGCCACGCUGAGGUCAGAGCAUCUGUCGGGAGAGCUUUCCUGCAAAGUCAGGGAGCCUUGCAGCAUUUGGUUUUACUUCUGUGUGAUUCCGGACUGUCUGUCAUUCAAACACCGCGUGUUAAAUCAAAGCUCUCGUAAAAUAUAACACGGAUAGCCAACCCAACUGAGAAAUGAGACUAUCCUGUAGGUUAAGUAAGAAUAACCACUGAGCAUUACUCAGAUGCUUUUUAUGUGAGUGUCUGUUUCAGAUAACUAUCGAAAGGAAGGAAGGAAAGAAGUAAAUUACCAUUUACCAUGGUUGUUGUUGUGUUGUUUUUUUUUCCAAACCAUUAUUUUUUCUUUCUUUCUAAAUGUCAUCCUGAGCUCUGAAGCUUUUCUCUUUGUCAUAUACAAGGUUCUGGCUUCCUGUCCAAGUAAAACACAUUUACAGAAGGUUUGUGGCAGGCUUUUCAUACUGUCUUUAGAGAUAGUACCUCCUUUAAAAUUGUGUGCUUGCUUGUAAUUUUCUUUGACUUUUGCUUGUUGCUUGGAAAAGAAAACCGUUCCUGGAGGUUGCUGGUAAGGAAAAUAAGAGCUACAGAUAUUCCAAACAAAAAAUGAGGACGCUUCAUUCCUGACCCAG
rnacentral:lncRNA from 1 species